rnacentral:rRNA from 1 species
UACGUAGGCAGCGAGCGUUGUUCGGAAUUACUGGGCGUAAAGAGUGUGUAGGCGGUGCUCUAAGUUCGGUGUGAAAUCUCCAGGCUCAACCUGGAGACGCCACCCGAUACUGCUGUGGCUAGAGUCCGGUAGGGGAGCGUGGAAUUCCUGGUGUAGCGGUGAAAUGCGUAGAGUAUGCGGAGGAACACCGAUGGCGAAGGCAAUCCCUGGCCUGCGACUGACGGCUCAUGCACGAAAGCGUGGGGAGCAACAGG